rnacentral:pre_miRNA from 1 species
UGAAUCGAUCGGCUUUGCUGAGGUUGGACAACUCAUUUCACCCAGAAGCCCAUCGAUUCCUU